GCCAGGUUGAGCUGCAAAACUUGUGGGAGGAGCAGCUGGGCCCGGAAGUGCCAGAUAACCUGUAUGAUGUGUAGUUGCCGCACCAUGAGAUUCAAAUCCUGCCUGUGUGGCAGGUUGGACACUUGGGAUUGCAUGAUCACUAGGAGGUGGAGGACCAGAUGGUGGGAGAAUGUCAGCCAAUAUAUCGAUCUCCUGGUUGGAGGUGGACAGCUCCUGCUGAGCAUAUUGCAUAUUAGUUGGAGUAACCUGACUAUAUGUUGCCCUUGAGAGCUCAGCACCCUGAGGGACCGAUUGAGGAAGCUCAGGGCUUUGAUUUGAAUUAGGAUGGAAAGAUGUAGAGUUCUGC
rnacentral:lncRNA from 1 species